CAUAUCAUAUUAUAACACUAGUUCUCAUGUGAUCAUUGAAGUUAAGCAACAUUGAGCCUGGUCAGUACCUAGAUGAGUGACUGCUUGGGAAUACCAGAUGCUGUAA